UGGAGGGGAGUGGGGGCGAGGCCCGCGCCCCCGAUCGGCACUCUGCGCUGAGUCUGUGGUCCGAGGCUGGGCUCAGGCCACCUCUCCCUGUCACCUUGGUGGUGCCAUUGCUCUCUUGGGCCUCAGUCUGUUCAAGGUGGGGCUCACUGGGUGCCCUGGGGACCUUCAUGACCCAAAACCAACAGCUCCUCUGACACUGUCGGUGGUCAUGGGAUUCGGUGAACAUCGGCCCUUCGGGUGUGUACGCUGGAGACACGCUCGGCUCCAGACCACAGAGCAGAUGGCAGGGCCAGGCAGGUGGAAAAUUCCCCCUGGCGUGCAGCCCAGGUGCUGUGCCUGCUGGGUGGGCCACAGCCAGGUCCGGGGGACCGGCAGGCAGCCUGGCAGCCGCAGGGAGCUGGCUGGGGCCUCCCAGCUCAGCUGCCCCCACUCAGACUCCAGAAUCCUGUCGGCUCAGGCCGGCAGACGGGACAAGGAGCUGCCGGAAGCUUGUGGAGGUUUCGUGUAGCCAGCCAGCCGGUCCCUCAAAUCGCUCCCACUUGGGGCCGUCGGACCCGGGAGGGCCGCCGUGCCAGGCGUGGUGGACUCACGCCCCACCGGAAGGCUUCCCAGAGGGCAUGACCCACUGACCGCGCGUCACUGCCGACAUGGGCGGGAAGCAUGGUCCGUCUGGGCAAAGGAGGUGGUGGAGAUAAGACAGGGCAUGACCCCGACUCCAUGACAGCCAGCAAGCCCGCUCCAGGAACCCAACCGCCGUGACUCACGGCCCGCCAAUCAGGAUGCCGGGCCGCCUGCCUUUUCCAGCCAGACACACCUGUAACCUGCCAGCCAUCUGUUGGGCCACACCCCUGCCCCAGCCGUUCCCGAGAGAAAUACAAACCUCUUUAUACGGGUGCGUGUGGGGAGCUCUGUGGCUCUGCCGUGGGGGCAGUGCACACGGCCGUGUGAGUAGAGAGCAGACGCACACGAGGACACCCGCCCCGGGGAGUCGUGCACCCCCUCCUGCCUCCGCCACGGUUGCCGCCGUCUCCCGCCCCCCACCCCACCCCCAGUGGAAAUGACAGAAGAGGCCCAGCAGACGGCAGCGUCCGGGGGCCAGGGAGCUCCCUCACCCUCAGAAGAGCAGACAGACACAGACGCUUGAGCCGGCCUUGUCCCUGAAGUCCCUCGGGGAGCACUGUAGUGGGAAGGGACUGAGAGUUCCCUGGUAAAACCACGGGUCGUAGCUGAGGGUCCUCCAUCCAGGGCAGCCUGGCCAGACUCUGGCCUCGUGGGUCCACCCACCUUGGAGGGCAGCCUGGCAGUGGUGGGCAGGCGGCCCCAGAGGGAGGCCUGGAGAAGGGCAGUGUGCCCCGGGACCUGAGGGCUGUGAGGACUGUCAGAGAGGGGGCUGUGUGGGGAGAGAAGUCCAGGGGGACGUGGGCUCACCCUGGAGGGCGCAGAGGAGACCACUGUCACCCUUCCUCGCCCCCACACGCAGGGUGCUUUUGCUGAGAAUCCUGACCCGGGGAAUGGCCUGGACUGAACCCAGCACAACCCCACGCUGCCAGGUGGGAGGUGACACUCCGCGUCAGGAUGUCGGCGGCCAUGCUGGGGUUGGGGGCUGGGUCAGCUGGACGCCCACCUCCCUGAGUCUGUGUUCACGUCCACGACUUCAGCAAAGGAUCUCCCCUCAGCUCCUAAGAUCAAGGGCCUGUUCCAGGCCCGUCUGCAGACCCGCAGACUCAAACUGCUGGUUUGGACAGGAGAGAAAAAGAUCUCCUUUGCACACAGCUGGGGGCCUUAAUCCCCUCCUUUGAAGUGCUCCUGCCUCUUCACCCCAAUCCGGGAGUGACAGGUGAGCACAGAGUCCCCCUGUCACCCUCAGAGGCUCCCCAGGUGCUGGGAUCCUGGACACAAGUCCCAAGGACCCCCACCCCUGGGUCACAGCCCAUUGCCAGGCUGGCUGAAUGGGAGGCCCAGGGCCCUUCCACCUGGGGGUCCCGGGGGCUGCCCUGCAUGGACGUGAGUGUCUGGGACCACUUGAGGAUGGCUCUUAGGGGGACAGGGGAUGAGGCAAGUGUGAAGCAGGAGACACGUGGGCAUUUCUGAGGGAACGCUCUUUGUCUCGGAGAUGCCGCUCAGCAAUGUGGUUGUAUGUCCAGGGCGAGCCUUCUAAGCAGGGCUUACAUCAGGAGAGCUAAGGGUCAGAAGGUAAAGGGGCCUGGCCCUGGCCUACGCAGCCUGGACCACCCAGCGUCUGCAGUGAGGGUGGGACUAGCAGCAGCGGCUGGGCACAGAAGGACCCCCGCAUGGAAUCCAGCUGCCCCGCCUCAGUGCCAGCCUGUGCCUGCUGCCGCCCGGAUAGGUGCCAUCCCGCGCAGAGGAGGGAUCGCGCCUCCCCGUGGGUUCCCCUCCGCGUUCUUCCGGGCUGAGCCUGGCUGGCGGCCCUGCCAGGACACCAGGGUAGGAAAGGACGCAGCGAAAGGACACGAUGGGGCGGGGCGGGGGGGGGGGAAUGGGUGCCUGGCAGCGAAUGAUCUGCUUGUCCCCGCCCCGCCGCCUGAGGCCACGGAGGGAGGCGAGGUUGUGCCAGCGGCUGGGGGCGAGGGGCUGUGCCGUCUGGAGCGGCCCUCGUCUCCCGCACUCGCCUCCUAAGCAGAGGGUCUUCCUGCUGGCCCCCAGGCUGCAGCCAGACCCUGCCACAGUCAUAGCCCACAGCUGGGGGCUUGGCUCUCCCAAGACUUCACCCUGACCCUCCCCACUCACCCCAGAGCUCCAGAACCAGGUCCCGGGCCUUCAGGUGCCCCAGGGGGACAGCCUGACAGAGCUGUCUGCAGGGAGAGCUGCAGGGGUCACUGGGGGAGGGGGCAGGCAGGGUGGAACAGGGGACUGCCCUCCAUGGACUUCCCGGGCGUCUCCAGCUUGCCCGCACCGCCCGGCCCCCCAGGCCUGGUCCUGAGGUGCUGGCAGCAGCUCGCUCAUCUUCUCUGCCCCGGCUGGGUGACCCUCUGCUCCUCCCAGCAGGCCGGCUGUUCCUGGAAUCAGCCUGUCUCCCCACCAGCCGCUGGCCUGCUGGACUGUGGCCCGCCUCCCAUCUGAGAACCAGCACCCUCUCUGGAACUCAGUCUCUGCUCCAGGAGAAACCCCUGUGAAGGCUUGCCUCUAGGAAGCCUUCCUGACUCACCCAGGACCACCCAGUGGGCCUCCGCAUCCCGCCCCAGCACCCCCCAGGGCCCUGCUGCUCCUGCGGAGGGGAGUUUGUCUUGCUGACCACACCCACUGGAGCCUGGUUGUGUUCAGUGUCCCCCAGUGGAUUUUCCUGGAGUCACAUUUCUAAUAAAGGAGCAACUUCCACAUCCAAGGUGUCUGGGACUGGAUCAGGUGGCCUGGGACCGGCCAUCAUCUCUGAGGAUGGAGGCUUCAAGCAACAGUUGUUCGUUAGUAACAGGCGCUUCUAGCAUCACUUUUGUAUCUGUCACAAU